rnacentral:rRNA from 1 species
GUGUCAGCCGCCGCGGUAAUACGUAGGUGGCAAGCGUUGUCCGGAAUUACUGGGUGUAAAGGGCGUGUAGGCGGGACGGCAAGUCAGAUGUGAAAUACCUCGGCUUAACUGGGGUGCUGCAACUGAAACUGUCGUUCUUGAGUGUCGGAGAGGAAAGUGGAAUUCCCAGUGUAGCGGUGAAAUGCGUAGAGAUUGGGAGGAACACCAGUGGCGAAGGCGGCUUUCUGGACGAUAACUGACGCUGAGGCGCGAAAGCGUGGGUAGCAAACAGGAUUAGAUACCCUGGUAGUCCACGCUGUAAACGAUGGAUACUAGGUGUAGGAGGUAUCGACCCCUUCUGUGCCGGAGUUAACACAAUAAGUAUCCCACCUGGGGAGUACGGCCGCAAGGUUGAAACUCAAAUAAAUUGACGG